UACGUAGGGGGCAAGCGUUGUCCGGAUUUACUGGGCGUAAAGCGCGUGUAGGCGGAAGCGCAAGUCCGGUGUGAAAGCCCCCGGCUCAACCGGGGAAGGUCGCUGGAAACUGCGCUUCUUGAGGACGACAGAGGGAAGUGGAAUUGCUGGUGUAGCGGUGAAAUGCGUAGAGAUCAGCAGGAACACCCGUGGCGAAGGCGACUCACUGGCCCGUUACUGACGCUGAGGCGCGAAAGCGUGGGGAGCAAACGGG
rnacentral:rRNA from 1 species